rnacentral:rRNA from 1 species
GACAAACGCUGGCGGCGUGCCUAAGACAUGCAAGUCGGACGGGAGCUUCGGCUCUAGUGGCGGACGGGUGAGGAACGCGUGACUGACCUGCCUUUUGGUGGGGGAUACCAGCCAGAAAUGGCUGUUAAGACCGCAUACGACCGCGGGGGUAGACCCUGUGGGGAAAGCCGCAAGGCGCCGAAAGAGGGGGUCGCGUCGGAUUAGCAGUUGGUGGGGUAACGGCCUACCAAGGCGGUGAUCCGUAGCNGGUCUGAGAGGACGGCCAGCCACACUGGGACUGAGACACGGCCCAGACUCCUACGGGAGGCAGCAGUUAGGGAAUUUGUCAAUGGGCNCAAGCCUGAACGAGUGACGCCGCGU